GAUCCUGGCCCAGGAUGAACGCUAGCUACAGGCUUAACACAUGCAAGUCGAGGGGAAACGACAUCGAAAGCUUGCUUUUGAUGGGCGUCGACCGGCGCACGGGUGAGUAACGCGUAUCCAACCUGCCCACCACUUGGGGAUAACCUUGCGAAAGUAAGACUAAUACCCGAUGAUAUCUCUAGAAGACAUCUGAAAGAAAUUAAAGAUUCAUCGGUGAUGGAUGGGGAUGCGUCUGAUUAG
rnacentral:rRNA from 1 species